GGUAGGAUGGCUGAAUGUAUAAGCGGCGGAUUGUAGCUCCGUACACAGAGGUUUAAUUCCUCUUCUUAUCA
ensembl:Mt_tRNA